UUAGAGGCCCAAUCGGAAAUACUAAAU
rnacentral:piRNA from 1 species